rnacentral:piRNA from 1 species
UGUGAAAUGAAGGGCUGAGCUUUGGGCAUU